CUCAUAGUUGCGUAAUUUAAAAAAAUAAAUGAUUUCCUCUUUCUUGUCUUCUUUCCAGAGUCCAUACCCUUUGACCAACCUUGGAUUUAUUUCUGCUUUAGUGGCCCAUUCCCAAAUCAAAUUUCCAAAAUUAUUAUCCGUUUGUGAUUUGUUUUGUCUGACUGGUGUCUUGUUUUGAUUGUUACAUUUUUCUAUUAAAUUAGAUACGUAAUUCUUGCUGGAAUUGGGGAUACGUUUUCCAUGGGAAGGCAUCUUCAUUGGAAAUUAUUGCCAAAAUGUUUUUUUAUUAUUAGUAAAACUUCUGAACUUAAUUACACAAUAUUCACAUUGUAUGGCUUAAUGUAGAACUGUUAGUUGUUUUGAGAAGACUAGUCAAGUUUGAGUUCACCUCUAGAUGAUAGAUGUCUGAAAUAUGAUCCCAUUUCUUGAACUUUGAAACAGAAAUAGUUUGACUUGUCACUUUACAAGAGGCUCCAAUAGAGGCUCCAGAAAAUACUCGAUAUAACACAUUUGUGCUUGUGGGUGAACUUUUUCAGCUUGCCUUAUUCAUGUCCUGCCAAUGAAAAAGAUUUAAACAGCAUCAAACACUAGUUUAUCAAAAUGGUUUAAGCAGUAUCAAACACUAGAUUGAGAAUUAUAUAGAUAAUAAACAUUUACCUAUAUUUACCCUGUUAUUAACAUGCUAUUGGCACU